UUCAACUUUCGAAAAAGAAGACACGAAAGUUUAAGAUUAUAAAGAAAAUGAAACCAUCACUUUUUUGGAAACGUACAUGUGGCUGCACGAAAAAAAGUACAACGAAUAAAAUGACAUAUAAACGUGGUCGUCGUCGUGCCAACUCUGGUCGCGUUUCUUUAGAGAAUCGCUCAAUAGACACACUCCAUGCUGUUUAGCAGAGUUGAGACCAGAGCCAGCCAUAAUAACCUCAAGAUAUCCAAGUUUUGCUUGUGCUGAACCUGUCAUCAUCAACAGCAGUCUCAGUUUCAACACUUGAUAAACAGCAUCCCUCUUGAUUGGAGCAACUUGCCAAACGUGGUCUCUUUUUCCCCUUUCUUCAAAUGUCCUCGUGUACGCCCAUGUGAAUGUGGGUGUAUUCACGAGGACACUCUUUUACCCUAUCCCGUCUGGUGGUGUAAUUCAACUC